rnacentral:rRNA from 1 species
AGCCACCGACCUAAGUUCCUUGGAACAGGACGUCAUAGAGGGUGAGAAUCCCGUAUGCGGUCGGAAGGGCACCCUACACGUAGCUCCUUCGACGAGUCGAGUUGUUUGGGAAUGCAGCUCUAAAUGGGAGGUAAAUUUCUUCUAAAGCUAAAUAUUGGCCAGAGACCGAUAGCGCACAAGUAGAGUGAUCGAAAGAUGAAAAGCACUUUGGAAAGAGAGUUAAAAAGCACGUGAAAUUGUUGAAAGGGAAGGGAUUGCAACCAGACUUGCUCGCGGUGUUCCACCGGUCUUCUGACCGGUCUACUCGCCGCGUUGCAGGCCAGCAUCGUCUGGUGCCGCUGGAUAAGACUGGAGGAAUGUAGCUCCCUCGGGAGUGUUAUAGCCUCUAGUGAUGCAGCGAGCGCCGGGCGAGGUCCGCGCUUCGGCUAGGAUGCUGGCGUAAUGGUCGUAAUCCGCCCGUCUUGAAACACGGACCAAGGAGUCUAACAUCUAUGCGAGUGUUCGGGUGUCAAACCCCUACGCGUAAUGAAAGUGAACGGAGGUGAGAACCGCAAGGUGCAUCAUCGACCGAUCCUGAUGUCUUCGGAUGGAUUUGAGUAUGAGCAUAGCUGUUGGGACCCGAAAGAUGGUGAACUAUGCCUGAAUAGGGUGAAGCCAGAGGAAACUCUGGUG